UACGGGGGGGGCAAGCGUUGUUCGGAAUUACUGGGCGUAAAGGGCCAGUAGGCGGCCAACUAAGUCGGAUGUGAAAUCCCCAGGCUCAACUUGGGAACUGCAUCCGAUACUGGAUGGCUUGAAUUCGGGAGAGGGAUGCAGAAUUCCUGGUGUAGCGGUGGAAUGCGCAGAUAUCAGGAGGAACACCGAUGGCGAAGGCAGAUCUCUGGGCCGUAACUGACGCUGAGGAGCGAAAGCAUGGGGAGCGAACAGG
rnacentral:rRNA from 1 species